rnacentral:rRNA from 1 species
GGGUCAGUAGGUUGGUCGUGCCACCGGUACGUACUGGUCUCACUGAUUCCUCCUUCCUGAAGAACCGUAAUGCCAUUAAUUUGGUGUUGCGGGGAAACAGGACUGUUACUUUGAAAAAAUUAGAGUGUUUAAAGCAGGCUAACGCUUGAAUACAUUAGCAUGGAAUAAUGAAACAGGACGAUCGAUCCUAUUUUGUUAGUUUCUAGGAUUGACGUA